UAUAUUUUAAUUUUGAUACAGAAUACAGCAGAAAAAUAAACUUGACUUUGAUAUUAUCAUGUCUGAUUUACAAUAAAUAGCACUAAUAAUUAUUCAAUUACAGACACACAUAAAAAUGGCCAAAUGACAAAGGAUACAACCACUAUAAAAUAAUGAUCACAAUAAUAAACUUAUUAGAACAAAACCUGUUAAAAUCAAGAAUAUAGAGGAGAUAAAAAUCCAUUUAAAAAUGACAGGAUGUUGACGGCUCAUAGCAGAGAUGUGCGUAGGUACUUGAGCUCACACACAGUAGCCAAAGAACAAAUGUUUAUGGCUGUUAGUGUUCAGAGCAAGUGUACAAGCGACAUCAAAUGUUUAUAAUCUAUGAUAGUGUAAACCAUUUCACUGAUUUCAUGCUGAACUGCAGGUUAAGGACAGUGUCCACAGUAACAGUGGGGGAGAUUUCUGGGGUUUCCUGAUGCUUGACUGGAUAUCUGGAGCCUUCUAGUAGUUCACAGAUACUGUAAGUGUUUCCAGUUGGUAUUCUGAAAAUGUUUAUGUGCUUUUGUCAAACACAACAUUGGCAUUUCCUUUGUGCAAAUUCUCUUUGAUUCCUAACAAUGAGGCCUUUAAACCUGCACUUCACAACCAAAAAAACAACAGUAUAUCUCUAGCAAAUACCUAAAUAGUCAAAUAAAAAAAAAAUUAGUUGAACACCAGUGGAAUCAAACACAGUAUGACUGUGCCACAUCUCCCUGAAUCAACCUUUCACUCACAUUCUGUACUGG